rnacentral:misc_RNA from 1 species
AACGCACGAGACCUGCGGACCUGCGGAGGGAUCAUUAAUGAGAAGCUGCCCCUCGUGGGUAGACCUCCCACCCUCUGUGAACUUACCUUUGUUGCUUUGGCAGGCCCGUCCUCUGGACCGCCGGCUUCGGCUGGCCCGUGCCUGCCAGAGGAUUCCAAACCCUGUCUGUCAGUGUUGUCUGAGACUAUAUGAAAUCGUUAAAACUUUCAACAACGGAUCUCUAGAUCGGAAGAGCACACG